CCAACAGGGACACCCGGAGCGGGUCGUCGCCCUCCCCGGCUCUGUCCGAGCGGCGUAUGGGAGCGUAAGGGUCACCCCGUGACGUACAGUCCCUUUCUGCGCUGUUGGAGAUCAAGCAGUGAAGAGAAGCAGCG